rnacentral:tRNA from 1 species
GUUCCUAUAGUUAAAUUUAAUAACAACGGCUUUUCAGGCCGUAGGUCUUGGGUAACAGUCCAAGUAGGAAUU